CGAGGAGGUGCCCGCAAGGUGGCUCUGGGUUUCGGGAUAACAGCCAAAGACGGUUGAUCAGUUCGUGGAUUCAUUACACGGGGAUUAGAUGUAUGUACAAGGGAAACAGUAGUGGACUCAAAACUGGGGGACGGAGGUCUAUAUGGAAUUGACCCCAGGAACCGCAGCUGCUUACCUCUGACCGGGGUCCCAGGGAACAUGGCUGAGGCACACCAGGCCUCGAGCUUGCUGUCUUCACUCAGUUCCGACGGGGCAGAAGUGGAGCUCAGCUCCUCAGUGUGGCAGGAGAUUUACCUCUCUGCCCUACGCUCCUGGAAAAGGAAUCUCUGGCGUGUCUGGGUGAGGAGAGCUAUUGGCUGAUUUCCUUCUGGGGAACCAGAAUGACUUUCUUGCUGGUGUGGUCCCGGCAACGCC
rnacentral:lncRNA from 1 species